rnacentral:lncRNA from 1 species
GACAAAUGCCACAACGAAUAGCUGAUAAGUUAGCCAAGAUUCCUGGUGCAAUUGAUGAAAGCAAAUCCUCACUCUCACUCAAAGCAAUACACGCCAAAGGCAUGAAAGAAAUUCUGAAAAGUUUGAUUAAAAGCUGCCUCUUACAAUUGUUUCUUAUCCUUAUAUAGUAAGGAGAAAAACAAAUAAAACCCUAAGACACUCUUCUUGGACCUGAUUUAAACACAUAAGGCCCAAGCCCAAUCACAC